rnacentral:rRNA from 1 species
GAUGAACGCUGGCGGCGUGCCUAAUACAUGCAAGUCGAGCGAACAGACGAGGAGCUUGCUCCUCUGACGUUAGCGGCGGACGGGUGAGUAACACGUGGAUAACCUACCUAUCAGACUGGGAAAACUUCGGGAAACCGGAGCUAAUACCGGAUAAUAUAUUGAACCGCAUGGUUCAAUAGUAAAAUACGGUUUUGCUGUAUCUUAUAGAUGGAUCUCCGCCGCAUUAGCUAGUUGGUAAGGUAACGGCUUACCAAGGCAACGCUUCGUAGCCGAGCGGAGAGGGUGGUCGGCCACACUGGAACUGAGACACGGUCCAGACUCCUACGGGAGGCAGCAGUAGGGAAUGUUCCGCAAUGGUCGAAAGCCUGACGGAGCAACGCCGCGUGAGUGAUGAAGGUCUUCGGAUCGUAAAGCUCUGUUAUUAGGGAAGAACAAAUGUGUAAGUAACUAUGCACGGCUUGACGGUACCUAAUCAGAAAGCAACGGCUAACUACGUG